CAUUAGAUAACUAAAGCAAGAUCUGGUCUCUUAAACCAAAAAUAGUAAUUAGCAAUUACUUCUAAUGA
rnacentral:tRNA from 1 species